UACGAAGGGGGCGAGCGUUGUUCGGAAUUACUGGGCGUAAAGGGCGCGUAGGCGGCGAUCCUAGUCAGAUGUGAAAGUCCUGGGCUUAACCUGGGGACUGCAUUUGAUACUGGAUUGCUUGAAUGCAGGAGAGGAUAGCGGAAUUCCCAGUGUAGAGGUGAAAUUCGUAGAUAUUGGGAAGAACACCGGUGGCGAAGGCGGCUAUCUGGACUGUGAUUGACGCUGGAGGCGCGAAAGCGUCGGGGAGCAAACAGG
rnacentral:rRNA from 1 species